AACCCUAAAAAGUCCUCUACACACAAAAGUUUAGUCCUGACUUUAGAGUCAAUUACCCCUCAACUUACACAUGCAAGCCUCCCCACCCCUGUGAGUACGCCCUUUUCCUCCCGCCCGGAGCAAGGAGCUGGUAUCAGGCCACUUGAGCCCAAGACACCUAGCAACAGCCACACCCACAAGGGCCACAGCAGUGAUUAACAUUAGGAAUAAGCGCCAGCUUGACCUAGUCAGAGGACCAAAGGCCGGCUAAGCUGGUGCCAGCCGCCGCGGUUACACCACGAGGCCCAAAUUGACUCCACUCGGCGUAAAGAGUGGUUAAAGCCAAAAACAAGUAGAGCCAAACCCGAGCUAGGUGGUGACAUACCUGCUCCGUGGAAGCCCACAAACGAAAGUUACUCUAUUAUUACAGCUUGAACCCACGACAACCGGGACACAAACUAGGAUCAGAUACCCUACUAUGCCCGGCCAUAAACUUUAAUUUACCCCCACAUCGCCAAGGAACUACGAGCUAUGCUUAAAACCUAAAGGACUUGACGGUACCCCAUAUCCCCCUAGAGGAGCCUGUCCUAUAAUUGAUGACCCCCGCUUUACCUCACCACUUCUAGCUUUUCAGCCUGUAUACCUCCGUCCCAGCCCACCAUGUGAACGAACUAAGUGAGCUUAAACAUUCAUGUCUCCCAACAUCAGGUCAAGGUGCAACAAAUGAAGUGGGAAGAGAUGGGCUACACUCUCUACCCUAGAAAACACGGAAAGUCACUAUGCAACCUGACUGGAAGGCGGAUUUAGCAGUAAAAAGAGGGCAGAGUACUCUUUUUAACCCGGCACUGGGGUGUGUACACACCGCCCGUCACCCUCUUCAAGACAUAACAACAGUAAUUAACAAACCACAAGUCACUAAGAAGAGGCAAGUCGUAACAUGGUAAGCAUACCGGAAGGUGUGCUUGGCAA
rnacentral:ncRNA from 1 species